UACAGAGGUCUCAAGCGUUGUUCGGAAUCACUGGGCGUAAAGGGAGCGUAGGCGGCGUGGUAAGUCAGAUGUGAAAUCCCGGGGCUCAACCCCGGAACUGCAUCCGAUACUGCCGUGCUUGAGGGUUGGAGAGGUAGCUGGAAUUCUCGGUGUAGCAGUGAAAUGCGUGGAUAUCGAGAGGAACACUCGUGGCGAAGGCGAGCUACUGGACAACAUCUGACGCUGAGGCUCGAAGGCUAGGGGAGCAAAAGGG
rnacentral:rRNA from 1 species